rnacentral:rRNA from 2 species
CCCAGAUGGGAUUAGCUUGUUGGUGAGGUAACGGCUCACCAAGGCGACGAUCCCUAGCUGGUCUGAGAGGAUGACCAGCCACACUGGAACUGAGACACGGUCCAGACUCCUACGGGAGGCAGCAGUGGGGAAUAUUGCACAAUGGGCGCAAGCCUGAUGCAGCCAUGCCGCGUGUAUGAAGAAGGCCUUCGGGUUGUAAAGUACUUUCAGCGGGGAGG